GAUGAAUGCUUCCAAGAAUAUAAUAAUAUUUAACACAGCAAGAACAACUUCCCAAGCAUGGAAGGGGGCUGGGGGCUGCUGAGCACCGCAGAAAAUGUCAGGAGGAGCUGAAUCACCGUGAGGCACUGACUUCUUCCUUUAUUCUUCAUUUACUGAGGACCCAUGAACAGCUUGGCAGGAGACCAGCAGCUGCUGGAGAAGCACUGGACAGAGCAGAAUGAAGUAACAGUUCCUUCCCUUGGGAGACAGGACAUACACAGAGACAAGAUAAAAAGGGUCUGAACUGCAGAAGAAAUCUGAACGGGGAAGAGUCAGGAGACUAUGGUCGACCUGGGUGAAGAGAUGGGGCCAUUUCCAGGGGAAGAGAUAACAGAUCAUCACUGUCUUCAUGCAACUUAAUUGGCUGGACAGAGCAGACU
rnacentral:lncRNA from 1 species